GUGGUGCCCAGUGACAGGACAAGGGGCAGUGGGCACAAACUGGGACACAGGAGGUUUCAUGUGAACAC
rnacentral:miRNA from 7 species